CCUCUGUCUCUUUGUAGAGAAGAGUCAUUUGCUGACUGCGUGCUAGCUGAAAAGGGACUCCCCACAGAGCAAGAACAGCUGUCCCCUUGCUUCAUGCACUCAAAUUCCCUCCGUUGGGCCGCGCUGGGGAUGCGCUGUCGGCCACCUCCUGCCUGAUGUGGUGUGGGCUGCCCAGGAGAUGAGGCAGCUGUCCGAGGUGGAUGAUGUGUGCUCAGACCUCCAGGAACCGGCAAAUGAGGCCUCAUGGAAAGAACGUGAGGUGGAGGUGGAGGGGAACAAGAGUGGGGAAAUCCCUCCAGGCGGCCUCCUGCACCCCCAGGCUCUGGAGACAGCCUUCACUGGACGCUGGAAUAUCAGAUGGGGUGAAGACAGAAAAUGCUGUGCUGGCCUGGCCCUCCCACAAACAGUCCAGUUUCACGGUCUGAAGAGGAGACAAAGCAAAUCCGUGGGAUGCCGAGGGCACUUGGAUAACCUCCGCUCGGGAGAGAAGCCCAAACUCCGCAUCCCGGAGACCUGAAGAGUGGCCGCCAGUGGACACCCAGCUGAGGGAUGAGCAGGGAUUAUCAAAGCCGUUCUAAAAGUCGAAGAGUCCUGUGUGUAUAUGUUUUGGGGGUCAGAAGAAAGAAGCGAGUGCCCAGGAGGCAGUGUGGAGUUUUCAUGGAUGACCUCCCAGGCUUGUCUCCUCCUGACCCAGGGCAGGCCGCCAGAUGGGCGUUCCAGCCCAGGGGAGAGCUGUGCUCAGCAGAGCCCCAGCUCCAUAGAAUCUGCAGCCUCUCAUGCCUUUUGAUUAUGGUGCUGAUGAAAGCGGAGGAAGCAGCUCUUCUCUCAGCAUCGGCUACUCCACUUUGCAAGGCCUGCGUUUGGGUUAUGCUUUUCAAGUAAGGAGAUGUUGCUACCCUGGGAAUCAUGUCAAUGUGUUCUUAAUAUUUAGGGCUUAUUGGUACAUGCCUGCUGACUCAGUGAAGGUCCUAUUGGAUGACAAAAACAAGCAGACCAAAAACUCAAAGUGACUGAUAUGGUCUGCGUGGCCACAGCUUGAUCUGGGCUCAUUUUAGAGGCGCCGGGCUGUGCUGUCCUGUCCCAGGCCACUUGCUGCACACAGCUGUUGGGCGCUGGAAGGGUGGAGACUCGAGUGGAGGUGGGUGCCGAGUUGAAAACCUACACCAGAUUUCAAAGACAAAACAAAGGAAAA